rnacentral:piRNA from 1 species
UGCACAAAAUGCCUCUUUCAUGGUUUGAGCGU